rnacentral:rRNA from 1 species
UACGUAGGGUGCAAGCGUUGUCCGGAAUUAUUGGGCGUAAAGAGCUCGUAGGCGGUUCGUCGCGUCGGCUGUGAAAUCCCGAGGCUCAACCUCGGGUCUGCAGUCGAUACGGGCGGACUGGAGUUCGGCAGGGGAGACUGGAAUUCCUGGUGUAGCGGUGAAAUGCGCAGAUAUCAGGAGGAACACCGGUGGCGAAGGCGGCUCUCUGGGCCUUACCUGACGCUGAGGAGCGAAAGCGUGGGUAACGAACAGG